rnacentral:rRNA from 1 species
GAUGAACGCUAGCUACAGGCUUAACACAUGCAAGUCGAGGGGAAACGAUAUUGGAAGCUUGCUUCCGAUAGGCGUCGACCGGCGCACGGGUGAGUAACGCGUAUCCAACCUGCCCACCACUUGGGGAUAACCUUGCGAAAGGAUGACUAAUACCCAAUGACGUCUCUAGAAGACAUCUGAAAGAGAUUAAAGAUUUAUAGGUGAUGGAUGGGGAUGCGUCUGAUUAGCUUGUUGGCGGGGUAACGGCACACCAAGGCGACGAUCAGUAGGGGUUCUGAGAGGAAGGUCCCCCACAUUGGAACUGAGACACGGUCCAAACUCCUACGGGAGGCAGCAGUGAGGAAUAUUGGUCAAUGGGCGAGAGCCUGAACCAGCCAAGUAGCGUGCAGGAUGACGGCCCUAUGGGUUGUAAACUGCUUUUAUAAGGGAAUAAAGUGAGUCUCGUGAGACUUUUUGCAUGUACCUUAUGAAUAAGGACCGGCUAAUUCCGUGCCAGCAGCCGCAGUAA